rnacentral:misc_RNA from 1 species
UACGGAGGGUGCAAGCGUUAUCCGGAUUCACUGGGUUUAAAGGGUGCGCAGGCGGCCUAUUAAGUCAGAGGUGAAAGCCCACGGCUCAACCGUGGAAUAGCCUUUGAAACUGCUAGGCUUGAGUACAGUUGAAGCGGGUGGAAUGUAUCAUGUAGCGGUGAAAUGCUUAGAUAUGAUACAGAACACCGAUUGCGAAGGCAGCUCGCUAAACUGUAACUGACGCUCAGGCACGAAAGCGUGGGUAGCAAACAGG